UACGAAGGGGGCUAGCGUUGUUCGGAAUUACUGGGCGUAAAGCGCGCGCAGGCGGCUAUCCAAGUCAGUGGUGAAAGCCCGGAGCUCAACUCCGGAACUGCCAUUGAAACUGUUUAGCCUGAGGACGAGAGAGGUGAGUGGAAUUCCCAGUGUAGAGGUGAAAUUCGUAGAUAUUGGGAAGAACACCGGUGGCGAAGGCGGCUCACUGGCCCGGUACUGAUGCUGAGGUGCGAAAGCGUGGGGAGCAAACAGG
rnacentral:rRNA from 1 species